rnacentral:piRNA from 1 species
AUGGUACAAGGAAAAAACUGACUUUG